UGUCCUAUUCCUAGCAGCUGCAACUCAGAAAAUGCUGUAAGACUUAAUCCUGCUUUUGAACAUGAUGAACCCAUAGCUUGUGUUUGCUAUAUGCCUUGUACUGCAAGUGCAUGUGUCAAUUCUGCAGAGAUCAUUGAUCAAGGAACACUACACACACAUGAAAACACAGCUCAGGGUGAAGGUCACCAGAUAAUUAUUCAAAACCAAGAUUGACAAGUUAGUAUGUGAAAUUCUGUAUUUCCAGAAUAAACCAGAGAAGAGCAAGGUAUCAGAAAAAAAAUCUGUAUGAUUCAAGAUGAAACUUCACACUAUAUUAUGUCAUGGCAAAUUUGGAAAUUAUUGAAAGACUUGCAAUUUUGACUUAACUGAAACAAAACACUUAAAACUGAAACACAUAUUACAUGAAAGUUACUGUCUUUUAAAGGUCAAUUUGCACCCAUUUUGCUUAGUGCAAAAAAAGUCUAAAAGUUCACCACUUAAGAAGUCACCAUGAAUACAGUUGUUAUUUGUGGAGUUAUACGCCAGUAGUAGCCUGAGAUUCCCAGUAGCAGAAACUGUAACAAGCUUAUUAAGUCCUUCUACAUCUAGUAAUAUAACUUUUAAAAUAUUUUACUAGCUUUAAAAUAUUUAAAGCUAAAUGUUUUGUUACCAGGGAUAUUUAAGUUCAUUAAACCAUACUAAACAUUGCUUGUAAAUUGUUUAGCUGAUUCUUAAAGUGUCUCAUAAUGCUGGAAGAACAGAUGACGGUUUUUUAAUGACUUGCUGGAGAAUGAGACUUGUGAGUUUUCUGUUGUAUAAUAAAACAGAAGAUCUCUCUCAUUGUUAAAUUCUUAAUGAAAAGUUCUUCUAAUCAGAUUUCAGUCUUUUAGAUGCAAGAAAGUUGUUGUAAUUUCAAUGAAGUACUCUCUCCAGGCACAACGAAACACUGUGGCUAAGUAGAUUAUCAAAAGCCAAAGGCUGAAUUGAUUCAAUCUUUGCAGGUUAGUCUAAGCUACAUAGAUUGAAUCCAUAAGCAAGUGAACAGACAUUCACUUUGGAUUCUGGAAAUGUAGCCACAUGCCUGCAGUAGCAUAGGCCAGAGGGUGCUGAAGCACGCCACCCUGUUCACCUGGAGCCAACAAGUUGGGCCAAGGCUAGCCCACCCACCCUGCCAGGGCUAGGUUUGCAGGGGAGGUGCAAAGCAUCCUGAGAUGCUGGGGAACUGAGAGUUAACUUGAAUCUGGAGGGGAUCUGGGACCGAAGUUCAAUAAACCGAUUUAACCAAGUCAGUUAAGUCUGAUGCUACAUCCAUCUAGGUUUACCUUAAACUGGUUUCAGACUUUUUGAAAGCAGUUUAUGUGCACUGAACUUCUGCUGUGUUACAGAUUUGAACUCGUUUCCAAUCACUUAUACUCAUUUUUGUAUAAUUUCUGUCCCUGGCCUGUGUAUUUUAGAAUGUACACAAGUGAUUUGAGCAUAUAAUUACUAUAUGUUAGCAAACUAAUUAGACAUACACACAAGCAUAUGCUCAGUACAUAUAUAUAUACACACACACACACACACACACACACACACUACCCUAAUGGUUACUAUUUGUUUUUUUUGUUGCAUAUCUCAGUAAGCAAUAAGUGGCUAUAAGCAUCUCAUAUGUUUAUCACAACUUUGGCUGGAUUACUGCACAACUAAGAUUCAAACUACUAACUUUGUCCUGUUCACGAGCCUACAUAUGCUGCAGCAGACAGAAUACAUAUAUACUACUUACUUUCAGACACUGUUUCUCAUUUCCUAUACAACAACAACAACGAAGACUUGUAAGUGUGCUUUUACUCCAUAUAGGAACAUCCAUAUUCAUAUCUGUACUUGUAUAUUUUGAGUAUUAUCUGCUCAUUUUAACAAUUUUUUUGAAAUUUUUUUUUUGCAGGGAAAGGGGAGACAUUUUAAGUCACAGUGAAGAUAGAGUGAGCUUUAUUUUAUUUCAUUUUAUAUAGUGUAAGAAUUGCUUAAUAGUUCCAACUGGUUCAGUCUAUACAAACCGUAGUUUGGCUUGCAGAUCCUGGAUGUGGAGACAUCAGGUACAAGAUGGAAAGAACUGACCUUGAAUUCCAUGUUCAGUUGUCAAGGCUGAUAUAAUAUCUUUGACAUAUAGUUUUGGAAAUGAGACCAAAAAAAGGGAAACUCAUGAUUCUAUUUAACAAAGUCACAUUCCAAAGUAGAACACUGUUUUACAUUCUUUCCGUAUGAUACUGAAAGAUUUUUUUUUCAGCAAAUAUUAGCUUUUACUGAGGAUAAUAUAUAUCUUAAGGAUAACUCAAACAUUCCAUAUUUUUUCAUUUAAACAUAUUUUUAUAUCCAUUUAGCAUAUUUCAAUUCAUAUAGAUUUUCAUUAGGCAGGCAAUAAAGAAGUCAUUUUUAAUGUCUAUUUAAUAAUGA